CUUGAGAGUGCACAUGCACUACAUCUAACGAAAAACAUAAUUGAUAAUAACCUUCCAAAUUCAGCUACCAGUUUCCUAUUUGCAACUAAGAUAUCUGAUGCUGGAAAGACUGAAAGCCUGAUUGAUGGAUGGGACCUGGUGGAACAUCCCACUUUUCCUCCUCCUCCAUCACAAAUUGAAGAUAUUGAACAUUGGAUUCGAGCCAUGUUUAUUGAUGCAACAAAGAAAUAAGCUGGUUGAGAGGGAACACCAGUCAGAGAACAGCUUUUGCGAAUCACUGACUAGUGAAGUUUUUAACAUUAUGUAAAUACAGAAAAUCUAACAGGCCUACAGGCCGUAAUGCCAUGCGGAUGUUAGUGGGUGAGGUUGACAGCAAUGUUCGAUGGCCUCCUUUGGAUGGUAACAUUUAUCUACCUGGACUCUGAUAUGAGGAUAAAUUUACAUUUCAGUACACAUGGUUUAUUAAUAUUUGCAAAUUAUUAAACUGGUAUUGAUGAAAAUAAUCAUUAUCUAAGCCUGAACAUGGAAUUCAAGUCUCUAUCUGAAAUUUUAGAAUUUAUAUUAAAAAAAUAUAGAAUAAAGGCGCAUAGCAGUUAGCGCACAUUGCUUCAGCGACAUGUUGAGUUGCAGUGCCGAUAGUGUAAAGAGAAAAGGGAACAGCAGCUGAACAACGCAAGAAAGAGUAACUAUCUAUCACCAUCAAGAUCCAAAUAUUCUUAAAUAAUGGUGCAAAAAAAAAAACAAUUAUGAUUUGUGUUGUUUUUAAAUUGGAUUAUGUGGUUUAAAUUUGAUUAAACUAAUAUCUUAAGCACUUGGCGGAUGCUUCAUAGUUUUUCUACAAGACUCAUAACAUAAUCUUUAAAUUUAGUUCUCCUAUUGAAAGAAGAUUUGCAUCUUAUAAAGUAAUUUUCUAAAAAAGACAACAUAUUUCAAUAACAAAAAUAUAAAAAUUCUAUUAAAUGAGAGAAAACACUACAAAAAUUCAAAAUUUACCAAAUAAUGAAAUAUUUGAAGAUUUAUUCACUCAAAAUUUAUCAAUAAGGAUAGAUUUUAGGAGAUAUUUCAAAAAAUUUAUUUCAAAUGGAUAUAAAUUUGAGUUAUUAAAAAAAUAUCAAAAAAAAAAGAAAGUGGUUGCUACUAAUGAAAAUACUCUCCGGUGAUCACCCAGAAAAAAAUUAAAUGAGAAAAGAAGAAAAAAUAAGAAAAAUAAAGCAAAAAAAAAAAUUCUAGAAAGAAGGUCUUUAGAACUCAUCUUCAUAGUUAAAGAUUCAGACUUUGUUUAACAAUAUUAGUUAUUCUAGUAGCUGUUAAUUAUUUUAUUAACCAUUAGUUGUUAGAUAUUAGUUGUUAGUGGUUAGCUGUUUACAUGGUUGUUAAAGUAGAAGUGUUUGUAUUAAUAAUUAAAUAUAAAAAUAGUACUAUAAUAUUAUUGACUCUCUCCCAAUCUUUAAAAACUAGGAGCGAUAGUUUUUUAUGAACUAUUCUCUCAAAUUCUGAAUACUAGUAUAAAUAUUAUGUCACAAAAUAAUAUAAACAAGACAGAUGGUGUUUUGAUUCUAAUAAAAACAUUAAACACUACUAAAAAAAUUGUUGUCAAAUAGGACCUUAAUAAUAGUUUAGAUAUUUAUCCUUCCGUGCACUCGAACUUACCAAAUUUACUGGUUUCAAGAUUUAAUUAAUAUCUAAACUUCUUUUUAAAUAAUAUUAUAUAUAUAUAUAAUGCUUAAAAGUCCAAAUCAUAAGUAAAAAAAUCAUAUUAGUAUGUCUAACAAGGGCAAUGGGAUAAGAAUUAGAGAAUGAGAAUAGCCCAUAUUAUUAUAUAUAUAGAUCAAGAAUCAUUGGACAUGCAUUUUACUUCCUUCACAAGUUUCCACUGACUUCUAACUUCCUAUAAAUUUAUUUCCAUUGUAAAAAAAAAAUGAAUUUCUGGGCAGACAAAGAGAAGAAGGAGAAGAUAAGAAGAAUAAAUAUUUUUUUCCAUAUAUCUCAGCAGAAGAUCCAGCUUUAGCCAGGGCAUAUCUUAUAUCUUGUGAUGAAGAAGAGUAAAUGCAUUCCUCAAUUCCCAAUACACACAUGCAUAUGCAUGCUUUCUUAUCAAGCAAAUGUUUCAUUAUGCCAAAUGGGGUCUCCAUAUUUUUAGAUCUUCAUUAAUUUAAUAUCAAUUUUUUAAUUUUUUUAAUUUUUUUUUCCUGGAAGAAUUUCU
rnacentral:misc_RNA from 1 species